rnacentral:rRNA from 1 species
AUUGAACGCUGGCGGCAGGCUUAACACAUGCAAGUCGAGCGGGGAAGGGUAGCUUGCUACCUGACCUAGCGGCGGACGGGUGAGUAAUGCUUAGGAAUCGGCCUACUGGUGGGGGACAACAUUCCGAAAGGAAUGCUAAUACCGCAUACGCCCAACGUGGGAAAGCAGGGGAUCUUCGGAGCUUGCGAUAAUAGAUGAGCCUAAGUCAGAUUAGCUAGUUGGUGGGUUAAAGGCCUACCAAGGCGACGAUCUGUAGCGGGUCUGAGAGGAUGAUCCGCCACACUGGGACUGGGACACGGCCCAGACUCCUACGGGAGGCAGCAGUGGGGAAUAUUGGACAAUGGGCGAAAGCCUGAUCCAGCCAUGCCGCGUGUGUGAAGAAGGCCUUUUGGUUGUAAAGCACUUUAAGCGAGGAGGAGGCUACCGAGAUUAAUACUCUUGGAUAGUGGACGUUACUCGCAGAAUAAGCACCGGCUAACUCUGUGCCAGCCGCCGCUGUAAUAC